rnacentral:tRNA from 1 species
GCAGUCGUGGCGAAGUGGUUAAGACGAUGAACUAGAAAUCCAUUGAACUCUCCCAGCACAGGUUCAAAUCCUGUCGACUGCG